AAGAAAUUUAAAAAAAGGGCUGGGGAUGUAGCUCAGUGCAGAGGCCCUGGGUUCACUCCUCAGGACUGCAAAGAGCGAAACGAAAACAUUCAUCUCAGACCUCGGGGCUGCAGCUCAGUGGUGGAUCACUUGCCUAACGUGUGAGAUCCUGGAUUCCAUGCCAGCUCCCAACGGAAACAGAACAAAGAGGAGAAAGGGUGAAAGAUCAGUCCCCGAAUUGGUGACAGUCCACGCAUCAUGGGCUGCUACAACCCCAGCGGCUGGCACCUGAAGCCACUCCGCUCCUGGCACAAAGUAGGGUUGAGGACGGUGGUGUCUCACCCCCUCCACCUCCAGAACGGAGCCCAGGGUCCCAAAUCCCCACCGAGCCUGCUACAACCUGGCAACAAAUAUGCUCGAUGCUUGGACGAGAGACGUUCAAGACAGAGCAACAGGGUUCACGGAUGUCCUCAGCUAUGAUUUCGGUGGCUCGGAGCCCCCAGCCACUUGCAGAGGUGGAGGACCUCGAGGAAUAAGAGACAAGCAGAUGGCUUGGAAGUCAGUCGGGCACAGCAGGUGCAGGGUGGGGCCUGGGAGUCUCGGGCAGAGUCGAACUGUGCAGAAUGAAGACGAUGGAGCAUUCCCUGGUGCCCACGCCUCACAGCUCUUUACCCUGCAGAAACGGCUUGUGUCUGUGGUAGCUUUGCAUCCUUGUGACCAAAUGGCCAGCACGCACAAGUUAAAGGAGGAAUAGUCUAUUUUCCCCCUGGACUCUGAACUCAAGCUCUGAGCCCAUUCGUGGAUGACUCCAUCCUCUACAGUGCUCCCAUGACCCAGUUACCUUCUGAAAGCCCCACUUCUGGACACGUGAGUCUCUUGGUGGACAUUCUAGAUCUUUUUUG